CUACGGGUGGCUGCAGUGAGGAAUAUUGCACAAUGGGGGGAACCCUGAUGCAGCAACGCCGCGUGGAGGAUGACGCAUUUCGGUGUGUAAACUCCUUUUAUAUGUCAAGAAAAUGACGGUAGCAUAUGAAUAAGCACCGGCUAACUCCGUGCCAGCAGCCGCGGUAAUACGGAGGGUGCAAGCGUUACUCGGAAUCACUGGGCGUAAAGGACGCGUAGGCGGGUUGGAAAGUCAGGUGUGAAAUCCUACAGCUUAGCUGUAGAACUGCACUUGAAACUUCUAAUCUAGAGUAUGGGAGGGGGAGAUGGAAUUAGUGGUGUAGGGGUAAAGUCCGUAGAUAUCACUAGGAAUACCUAAAGCGAAGGCGAUCUCCUGGAACAUUACUGACGCUAAGGCGUGAAAGCGUGGGGAGCAAACAGGAUUAGAUACCCUCGUAGUC
rnacentral:rRNA from 1 species